UCAACAUGGCGUUUCCCGGAAGUCGGCUGUUCUCUUUACGGACCAUGUCGUUGGGCAUUUUCUUUUACUGUACGUAUUGCCAUUUCCAAUUUGUUCUCGCAAAUGAGGUCGAUAGUUGUGAAAGUCUACGCCUGGGACAGUAUAUUUGUAAAGAACCAAGGAUAGAUGAUGCCACUCAAGAACCUGAGAAUUGCAAGGACAUGAUUGCUUGGGUGGAAUGCCUACCUUCUCCAAACGUCAGCUGCCGCUUGUCCAAUGGGACGGAGUUUCGAUUCAGUGGAGAGGAAGUGGGCUUUAACAAAAGCCUCCCUUGCAGGAAUGUGAGCGGUUACUCCUACAAAGUAGCGGUGGCCCUGUCGCUCUUCCUGGGAUGGUUAGGAGCAGAUCGCUUCUACUUGGGAUACCCAGCUUUAGGGCUGCUCAAAUUCUGCACAGUUGGCUUCUGUGGGAUUGGGAGCUUGGUGGAUUUCAUGUUGAUCUCAAUGCAGAUUGUGGGUCCGUCAGAUAAGUCUGACUACAUAGUGGACUACUACGGUGCCAGACUCACACGCCUCUCCAUCACCAAUGAGACUUACAGAAGAACCCAGAUGUCUCCCUGAAGUGACCGACCCAUGGGCCUCCCGGUCGCGGCCGGCUGCGACAGAGCCUGGGCUCGAACCCAUAAUUUCUGGUGGCACAGACCACUGCGCCACACGGGAGGCCCUACGGGAUCAUAGCUUUCACUUGGAUUCACCUGGACCAAAGUGAAAAACAACUAUGGUUACCCUCAACCCUGUCAUGACGAUUAUGCCUCUCUUUUUGGGAUCUUUUUCACUUGAUCAUUCCGAUACACGGACACUAAGACCAUCCCAGUCAACACACUGAUCAUUGAUCCUGUCUGCAUGUACCCCAAUGUGGUGAAGCUCGGCGUUUUAAAAUGGAUACUCUUAAGAGUGAAGGUUCAUUUUGGUUUAGACUUUGUUACCCAGCAUCUCCUUAGUCUUUCCUUCAUUCCUUGCCACCUCCUCAAAACACAUUUUAAAAGAUCAGAGGAGACGAGGAUAGAGGUGGCAAAUGAAUCAAGCAAAAACGUAUAUAUUUACCCGCGGUCACCAGCUCAGGUCCUAGAGCGUUAGAGGAGUAGAGACCUUUGUUCCAACCCAGCAUUAUCACACCCUGUAGCUCUCCAGGACCAAAGACUUGGUGACCACUGCCGUAGAGCUUCAAGUCAUCAUUAUACUCCUAUAAGAAUCUAGAAUCUGCACUGAGAACAGUUCUGUAAAUAUGUCAUCUAUUGCGUUAUUUGAGUAUGUCUGGCAGCAAGGGAACUAUUUAUGUUCUGUGUGACGGUUUUGUUGAUUUGUCGUUAGCGAUUUAUUUUUAUUUUUUUGUAAUAAAAUUGUAAUUUUAUGAAAAUGGA